ACGGGAGGGGCGAGCGUUAUCCGUAAUGACUGGGCGUAAAGGGUUCGUAGACUGUGAAGUAAGUUAUUUGUCAAAUCUUAAAGCUUAACUUUAAAAAAACACUUAAUACUGCUUUACUUGAGUUUUUUACAGAAGAGUAGAAUUUUAUAUGUAGGGUUAAACUCCAUAAAUAUAUAAAGGAAUACCAUUAGCGAAGGCGUCUCUUUAGUAAAAACUGACGUUGAGGGACGAAAGUGUAGGUAGCAAACAGG
rnacentral:rRNA from 1 species